UACGUAGGGAGCAAGCGUUGUUCGGAUUUACUGGGCGUAAAGGGCGCGUAGGCGGCGCGGUAAGUCACUUGUGAAAUCUCUGAGCUUAACUCAAAACGGCCAAGUGAUACUGCAGUGCUAGAGUGCAGAAGGGGCAAUCGGAAUUCUUGGUGUAGCGGUGAAAUGCGUAGAUAUCAAGAGGAACACCUGAGGUGAAGACGGGUUGCUAGGCUGACACUGACGCUGAGGCGCGAAAGCCAGGGGAGCAAACGGG
rnacentral:rRNA from 1 species